rnacentral:lncRNA from 1 species
AUAAAAUCAUCAUUCAUUUUAGAAAUCAAAUAUGGCCAAAUCUAUUUUUUUGGUCCUUAGUUUGACAAUCAUGCUCUUUCUGAGCAUGACUUCCGCUGUUAGACUUUUAACUGGAGAAGGAUACGGUUCAGGCACCGGAUCAGGAUCUGGUGAUAAUGGUGGUGGAGGUGGUGGUGGAGGAGGUGGUGGAGGUGGAGGUGAUGGAAAAAAUGGAAGUGGUUCUGGAUCAGG